CCUACGUGAGGCAGCAGUGAGGAAUAUUGGUCAAUGGGCGCGAGCCUGAACCAGCCAAGUAGCGUGAAGGAUGACUGCCCUACGGGUUGUAAACUUCUUUUAUACAGGAAUAAAGUGAGGCACGUGUGCCUUUUUGUAUGUACUUUAUGAAUAAGGAUCGGCUAACUCCGUGCCAGCAGCUGCGGUAAUACGGAGGAUCCGAGCGUUAUCCGGAUUUAUUGGGUUUAAAGGGAGCGUAGAUGGGUUGUUAAGUCAGUUGUGAAAGUUUGCGGCUCAACCGUAAAAUUGCAAUUGAUACUGGCAGUCUUGAGUACAGUUGAGGUAGGCGGAAUUCGUGGUGUAGCGGUGAAAUGCUUAGAUAUCACGAAGAACUCCGAUUGCGAAGGCAGCUUACUAAACUGCCACUGACAUUGAUGCUCGAAAGUGUGGGUAUCAAACAGGAUUAGAUACCCCAGUAGUC
rnacentral:rRNA from 1 species